rnacentral:tRNA from 1 species
AGUGGUUAAGCAUUUGGCUGCUAACCAAAAGGUCGGUAGUUCCAAUCUACCAACCAUCU